ACUUGCAGGUGCGAGCACUAAUGCACCGAAUCGCAUGAGACCUCCACAAUUAAUCGUGCUUGGGAGAGAGUAGUACUAGGAUGGGUGACCUCCUCGGAAGUCCUCGUGUUGCACCUC
rfam:Lupinus angustifolius cultivar Tanjil contig_1835, whole genome shotgun sequence.